CCUACGGGAGGCUGCAGUGAGGAAUAUUGGUCAAUGGGCGGAAGCCUGAACCAGCCAAGUAGCGUGCAGGAUGACGGCCCUAUGGGUUGUAAACUGCUUUUAUGCGGGGAUAAAGGAGCCCACGUGUGGGUUUUUGCAGGUACCGCAUGAAUAAGGACCGGCUAAUUCCGUGCCAGCAGCCGCGGUAAUACGGAAGGUCCGGGCGUUAUCCGGAUUUAUUGGGUUUAAAGGGAGCGUAGGCCGCCCCUUAAGCGUGUUGUGAAAUGCGGGUGCUCAACAUCCGACUUGCAGCGCGAACUGGGGGGCUUGAGUGCGCCGAAAGUAGGCGGAAGUCGUGGUGUAGCGGUGAAAUGCUUAGAUAUCACGAAGAACUCCGAUUGCGAAGGCAGCUUACUGUAGCGCAACUGACGCUGAUGCUCGAAAGCGUGGGUAUCGAACAGGAUUAGAUACCCGGGUAGUC
rnacentral:rRNA from 1 species